ensembl:snRNA U6 U6 spliceosomal RNA
UGCUUACUUCAGCAGUGCAGUACUAAAACUGGAACAAUACAGCGAAGAUUAGCAUGGCUUCUGAAUUAGGGUGCUUUGCAAAUUCAUGCAGUAUUUGAUGUUAUA